rnacentral:rRNA from 1 species
UACAGAGGCCUCGAGCGUUAGGCGGAAUCACUGGGCUUAAAGCGUGUGUAGGCGGACUUCUAAGUGCCUUGUGAAAUCCCACGGCUCACCCGUGGAACUGCUGGGCAUACUGGGAGUCUUGAGCCACCUAGGGGCGAGCGGAACAAAUGGUGGAGCGGUGAAAUGCGUAGAUAUCGUCUGGAACGCCGAAGGUGAAAACAGCUCGCUGGGGCUGCGCUGACGCUGAGGCACGAAAGCCAGGGGAGCAAACGGG